rnacentral:lncRNA from 1 species
CCUUGCCUUCACCCGGAGGACGGGGUGGGAGGAGGACGGGGGGUGCGCCCCCAGUUUGGUGUUUCCCAAAUUGGGAUGGGGCUGGGGGCUACUCCUGUGCUCCUCGAGCAAGCCGUCGGUGCUGCAAAGGGGUUUUGGGACUGGGGGGCUGGUGGUGGGGUCGGGGGGCUGCCUCGCUGCCCGUGGAGGUCCUGGGGACCCUCUGCCACCCCGGGGCACGGGGUAAAUGGAGGGGGUGACGCGGUUGGGGCCGUCCCCACGAGGUGUAAAGGUGCCAGCCGAGGGUGGCGGGCGCUUCAAAGUCAUCCUGCCGCGGUGCCCGGCGGUGGCACGCGCAGAGGACGCGGGUGCUGGUGUCCCCCCCACGGUGUCACCGGGUUGGACGGGUGCCACCAGCCCCCACGUACCCACCGGNNNNNNNNNNGGUCUUCGACAUCACCAAGCACCAGACGUACGACGUGGUGGACCGCUGGCUGAAGGAGCUGUACGACCACGCCGAGCCCAGCAUCGUGGUGAUGCUGGUGGGGAACAAAACCGACCUGGCGCAGGCUCGGGAGGUGCCCACGGAGGAGGCGAAAAUGUUCGCAGAGAACAACGGGCUGCUCUUCUUGGAGACCUCGGCGCUGGACUCCACCAACGUCGAGCAGGCUUUCGAGACCAUCCUGAAGGAAAUCUUCCAGAAGGUGCAGAAGCAGAAGCAGAGGAGCAGCCAAAGCAGCACGGUGUCGCUCGGCAGCGAGAACCCGGAGAGCUCGGCACCGGCGCAGGGGGAGAAGCGCCCGUGCUGCGUGGCCAUCUGAGCCCCCCCCCCGGGCAGCUCGGGGGGGUCCGGGACGUGCCAAGGGGCUGGGGCUGGGGCUGGUCCCUUUGGGCCACCAACCCCCUGCUGCGGCGUGGUGGGGAGCCUGGAAA